UGUUAGGGUUUUUUUUUUAAUUAAAAUGCUUUCAUACCUUGCUUAUAGCUCUCUACAAACACGAACGAAGGGAGCCUGACAAACUAUUUUUUCAAAGGGAGGAAAUGACCAUACAGGUAAAAUGGAAACUAUAGGUAAAGCAAAGCUAAAAACCAUAUAUUGAGAGAUCAUAAGAAUACAAAAGCCAAUAAAACAAGANAAUGAAAACGGGUCAGGACCUAACCACUAGCAGAAGACGAGUCACCAUAUAUAUAUAUAUA
rnacentral:misc_RNA from 1 species